AACGCGAAGAACCUUACCUGCCCAUGACAUCCUCGGAACUUUCUAGAGAUGGGGCGGUGCCUUCGGAGGCCGAGAGACAGGUGCUGCAUGGCUGUCGUCAGCUCGUGUCGUGAGAUGUUGGGUUAUGUCCCGCAACGAGCGCAACCCUUGUCCUUAGUUGCCAGCACUUUGGGUGGGCACUCUAAGGAGACUGCCGGUGACAAACCGGAGGAAGGGGGGGAUGACGUCAAGUCAUCAUGGCCUUUAUGGGCUGGGCUACACACGUGCUACAAUGGUCGGUACAAAGGGUUGCCAACCCGCGAGGGGGAGCCAAUCCCGUAAAGCCGAUCGUAGUCCGGAUCGGAGUCUGCAACUCGACUCCGUGAAGUCGGAAUCGCUAGUAAUCGCGGAUCAGAACGCCGCGGUGAAUACGUUCCCGGGCCUUGCACACACCG
rnacentral:rRNA from 1 species